GUGGCUGUUAGAGCAGAGGGUCUUGCUGCUUUUCUGAGGGACCUUGGCAGCAUGGAGAGGUCUGAUUAUCUUCCCUUACACUGCCUGGGUGUGCAACCAGUCCAGAGUGAGCAAAAUUUGCUGGUCAGUGGAAGUACAUGUUGCCUGGACCGGAGCUGAGUUCCAGACUUCAUUGAUGGGAUCUGGGCUGUUGAUCUUUGGUCUGUGGAUUUCAAAUGUUUCCAUUAAGUUUCUGUUGUUAAUUGUUUUGUGCAAGCAGCAAAAUGUUUGAGGUGGAUAUGAUUUUUUUGGGGGGUAACAAAAUGGAGGUUCAUCAUUUAUCUGGAGCUUUCUCUAAGAGAAGUAAACACGUUUGUACAGCAGAUCGCUGGCUUCGAAUAGAAAAGCAGCAAAAAGCAUGUAGCCUGCGUGUGGCUGCAGCGUAUUCAAUUCCUUGGUGAAGAAUCUGCCUUGAAUUGGAAUACUUGCAGUUGAAAUAUGUGAUGUUUCAGGAAUACUUCAGGAAAAAAAUGUUGUUGUUGAAUAGAAGUUCUUUGCAGACAGCAAUAACUCUGGCUUUGUAUGGGCUUAAUGCCAUAUUAACAAGGCUUGCAGCAGGAAGAUGCAGAUCUAUGGCUUUUUAAAGACUGAAUGAUUCCAAGUAGUUGAAGUACUUAAAUAUGAAUUGUUGGAUGGCAGAAGCGGAGUCCUUCCUUGGGUUUCUCUAAUAGGCGUACGUACAGUGAAGCAAAGAUCUCCAGCGAGAUGGGUGGCAUCAGGCUGGGACCACAUCCACCGCUGGGCUGCCUCAGGGUGUUCUCCUGGAUUACCGUAUUAUUCUUUCGCCUCUUCUGCUCUUGUAUUAUUCUUUUGCUUGUAUUACUGGCUGUUUCUGCAGUGCUGCUUGAAGUAAUGGUGCUGAGCUGUUGUUUAAGCAGUGUGUUACUCUUUUACAAAUAUUUAUCUGUAGGGCAAUAAAGUUAAGCUGAGCUUUAGUGUGUAGACCCUGCAGCCUUUUUCAGCUGAGUGAACAGGGAGUUGAUGCCCUCAUUAGGAGAGGGUUUGGGUGUGAAUGGCACCAAAAAACAAAGAAACCUGUCCUGUGUCUGAGUUUUCAGAGCUACUGGUCAGAACCUGUGGAUUUGUAAAUGGAGAACCAUGGCAGGCAAACCGUGUAAGUGUUUGGAUGGUAAGCACUCACCUCACAAAUCCACUGUAGAUCAUUUUGAACAGAGGCCAAGCUGAUUGUACAGGGCGGUCGUGGUGUUCUGUCAUGUCCCUCUACAGAGACACUGAUGCUUCACUGAGACCCAAUAAAACAUUUUCUGCUUGAAGGUACUGAAGUUGCUUUGACCAGCCUUUUCUUUUCCUACACUUAUUGCAUAAGAGCUCGUGUAUUAAAACAACACCUCCUCUUCUGAUGUUUUUCCUCUGUUCCUGCUGUUCAUGUUACGCUGGUGGAAAUCAGUUCAGUUCUGAGAAGUUCAGUGAAGCUGUGCUGACUUCAUCAGCCUGCAAUCUGAUCAAUUAGUAAAAUAAAUCACAACGUUUGCUUUGA